rnacentral:rRNA from 1 species
GACGAACGCUGGCGGCGUGCUUAACACAUGCAAGUCGAACGGAAAGGCCCUGCUUUUGUGGGGUGCUCGAGUGGCGAACGGGUGAGUAACACGUGAGUAACCUGCCCUUGACUUUGGGAUAACUUCAGGAAACUGGGGCUAAUACCGGAUAGGAUCUCCUGCUGCAUGGUGGGGGUUGGAAAGUUUCGGCGGUUGGGGAUGGACUCGCGGCUUAUCAGCUUGUUGGUGGGGUAGUGGCUUACCAAGGCUUUGACGGGUAGCCGGCCUGAGAGGGUGACCGGCGACAUUGGGACUGAGAUACGGACCAGACUCCUACGGGAGGCAGCAGUGGGGAAUAUUGCACAAUGGGCGGAAGCCUGAUGCAGAAACGCCGCGUGCGGGAUGACGGCCUUCGGGUUGUAAACCGCUUUCGCCUGUGACGAAGAGUGAGUGACGGUAAUGGGUAAAGAAGCACCGGCUAACUACGUG